rnacentral:rRNA from 1 species
UACGGAGGGAGCUAGCGUUGUUCGGAAUUACUGGGCGUAAAGCGCACGUAGGCGGCUCAGCAAGUCAGGGGUGAAAUCCCGGGGCUCAACCCCGGAACUGCCCUUGAAACUGCAGUGCUAGAAUCUUGGAGAGGCGAGUGGAAUUCCGAGUGUAGAGGUGAAAUUCGUAGAUAUCAGGAGGAACACCGGUGGCGAAGGCGGCUCUCUGGACGGUGACUGACGCUGAGACGCGAAAGCGUGGGGAGCAAACAGG